GACGAACGCUGGCGGCGUGCCUAAUACAUGCAAGUAGAACGCACAGUUUAUACCGUAGCUUGCUACACCAUAGACUGUGAGUUGCGAACGGGUGAGUAACGCGUAGGUAACCUGCCUGGUAGCGGGGGAUAACUAUUGGAAACGAUAGCUAAUACCGCAUAAUAUUAAUUAUUGCAUGAUAAUUAAUUGAAAGGUGCAAUUGCACCACUACCAGAUGGACCUGCGUUGUAUUAGCUAGUAGGUGAGGUAACGGCUCACCUAGGCGACGAUACAUAGCCGACCUGAGAGGGAGAUCGGCCACACGGGGACGGAGACACGGCCCAGACUACAACGGGAGGCAGCAGAAGGGAAUCUUCGGCAAGGGACGAAAGUCUGACCGAGCAACGCCGCGUGAGUGAAGAAGGUUUUCGGAUCGUAAAGCUAUGUUGUAAGAGAAGAACGGGUGUGAGAGUGGAAAGUUCACACUGUGACGGUAACUAACCAGAAAGGGACGGCUAACUACGUG
rnacentral:rRNA from 1 species